CCUACGGGUGGCAGCAGUGAGGAAUAUUGGUCAAUGGACGAGAGUCUGAACCAGCCAAGUAGCGUGAAGGAUGACUGCCCUAUGGGUUGUAAACUUCUUUUAUAUGGGAAUAAAAUGUUCCACGUGUGGGAUUUUGUAUGUACCAUAUGAAUAAGGAUCGGCUAACUCCGUGCCAGCAGCCGCGGUAAUACGGAGGAUCCGAGCGUUAUCCGGAUUUAUUGGGUUUAAAGGGAGCGUAGGUGGAUUGUUAAGUCAGUUGUGAAAGUUUGCGGCUCAACCUUAAAAUUGCAGUUGAAACUGGCAGUCUUGAGUACAGGAGAGGUAAGCGGAAUUCGUGGUGUAGCGGUGAAAUGCGUAGAUAUCACGAAGAACUCCAGUUGCGAAGGCAGCUUACUGGACUGCAACUGACACUGAGGCUCGAAAGUGUGGGUAUCAAACAGGAUUAGAUACCCUAGUAGUC
rnacentral:rRNA from 1 species